rnacentral:rRNA from 1 species
AGUUUGAUCCUGGCUCAGGAUGAACGCUAGCUACAGGCUUAACACAUGCAAGUCGAGGGGCAGCAUGGUCUUAGCUUGCUAAGGCCGAUGGCGACCGGCGCACGGGUGAGUAACACGUAUCCAACCUGCCGUCUACUCUUGGACAGCCUUCUGAAAGGAAGAUUAAUACAAGAUGGCAUCAUGAGUCCGCAUGUUCACAUGAUUAAAGGUAUUCCGGUAGACGAUGGGGAUGCGUUCCAUUAGAUAGUAGGCGGGGUAACGGCCCACCUAGUCUUCGAUGGAUAGGGGUUCUGAGAGGAAGGUCCCCCACAUUGGAACUGAGACACGGUCCAAACUCCUACGGGAGGCAGCAGUGAGGAAUAUUGGUCAAUGGGCGCAGGCCUGAACCAGCCAAGUAGCGUGAAGGAUGACUGCCCUAUGGGUUGUAAACUUCUUUUAUAAAGGAAUAAAGUCGGGUAUGUAUACCCGUUUGCAUGUACUUUAUGAAUAAGGAUCGGCUAACUCCGUGCCAGCAGCCGCGGUAAUACGGAGGAUCCGAGCGUUAUCCGGAUUUAUUGGGUUUAAAGGGAGCGUAGAUGGAUGUUUAAGUCAGUUGUGAAAGUUUGCGGCUCAACCGUAAAAUUGCAGUUGAUACUGGAUAUCUUGAGUGCAGUUGAGGCAGGCGGAAUUCGUGGUGUAGCGGUGAAAUGCUUAGAUAUCACGAAGAACUCCGAUUGCGAAGGCAGCCUGCUAAGCUGCAACUGACAUUGAGGCUCGAAAGUGUGGGUAUCAAACAGGAUUAGAUACCCUGGUAGUCCACACGGUAAACGAUGAAUACUCGCUGUUUGCGAUAUACAGCAAGCGGCCAAGCGAAAGCGUUAAGUAUUCCACCUGGGGAGUACGCCGGCAACGGUGAAACUCAAAGGAAUUGACGGGGGCCCGCACAAGCGGAGGAACAUGUGGUUUAAUUCGAUGAUACGCGAGGAACCUUACCCGGGCUUAAAUUGCAGAUGAAUUACGGUGAAAGCCGUAAGCCGCAAGGCAUCUGUGAAGGUGCUGCAUGGUUGUCGUCAGCUCGUGCCGUGAGGUGUCGGCUUAAGUGCCAUAACGAGCGCAACCCUUGUUGUCAGUUACUAACAGGUUCUGCUGAGGACUCUGACAAGACUGCCAUCGUAAGAUGUGAGGAAGGUGG